rnacentral:rRNA from 1 species
UGGUGGAGUGAUCUGUCUGGUUAAUUCCGUUAACGAACGAGACCUUAACCUGCUAACUAGUUACUUGAAUAGCUUCACGCUAUUCUCGGUCAACUUCUUAGAGGGACUAUCAUGGUCGCACAUGAUGGAAGUUUGAGGCAAUAACA